rnacentral:rRNA from 1 species
UACAGAGGUCUCAAGCGUUGUUCGGAUUCAUUGGACGUAAAGGGUGCGUAGGUGGCGCUGUAAGUCGGGUGUGAAAUUUCGGAGCUUAACUCCGAAACUGCAUUCGAUACUGCGGUGCUUGAGGACUGGAGAGGAGACUGGAAUUCAUGGUGUAGCAGUGAAAUGCGUAGAGAUCAUGAGGAAGACCAGUGGCGAAGGCGGGUCUCUGGACAGUUCCUGACACUGAGGCACGAAGGCCAGGGGAGCAAACGGG